rnacentral:rRNA from 1 species
GAUGAACGCUGGCGGCGUGCCUAAUACAUGCAAGUCGAGCGAACGGACGAGAAGCUUGCUUCUCUGAUGUUAGCGGCGGACGGGUGAGUAACACGUGGAUAACCUACCUAUAAGACUGGGAUAACUUCGGGAAACCGGAGCUAAUACCGGAUGAUAUUUUGAACCGCAUGGUUCAAAAGUGAAAGACGGUCUUGCUGUCACUUAUAGAUGGAUCCGCGCUGCAUUAGCUAGUUGGUAAGGUAACGGCUUACCAAGGCAACGAUGCAUAGCCGACCUGAGAGGGGGAGGGGCCACCCGGAAACUGGAACACGGCCCAGCCCACGAGGGGGGCCGGAAGUGGGAAAUCUCCAGCAUGGGCCAAAAGCCUGAGGCAGCAGCGCCGAGGGAGUGUUGAGGUUGUCGGAAUCUAAAACCUCUUUUAUUGGGGAAAAACAUAUUGGUAAGUAAUUGUACCCGUUGUGAGGGUACUUAAACAAAAAGCCCCGGCUAACUACGUG